UACAUUUGCACAUAACGUACUUAAACUGGUUUUGAUAAUUUUCUCUCCUCAGAAAAUCCAGUAUGACUUCUCUGAAAGUCUCAAAAGCUUCACAGAGCAGCAAUAUCAGUUAAUGAAGAAAUGUGGCUCUGUAGUGGACACCUGUGAGGCAGUGGACAGACAGCUGCUGAAGUCUGAUGCUGGCUGACAAUAAACAGACCUCUCUGGUUGUACCUUAUAUUUUGCAGAAAUUAUACCAUUGCCCUUCCUGUUACAUGAUGAUCCUGCUGUCCUGGACUGUAUAUGAUGAGCCUACACAUAAUCUCAGAACAGCUGUGGUAAUAACAGGAGACCCAUUAGAUGAGAGCAGCACUGCAGUCUUUCCUGAUGGUGAGGAGCUUCUUGCUGAUGAACCUGCAGACAUGAGUUCACCUUUCUAUGAGUAACUGUGUUCUGUUCAACAUUAUACAGAAAAGCAAUUAAAAGUUCACUAAAGCACACUAUUUUUCUGGUGUAUCUGUUGGACAUUCAGGAGGAGAUCAUGGAUAAUUUUCACAAUACUGAUGAUGUGUUUCAGCAGUGUUUGUAUCGUGAAUCCUCACAAUGUUUGUAUAUUUUGAUUUUUUUUUUAUUAUGUGCAUUUAUAACACUAUACUUUGUAUUAUAUCACAUUCAUAACAAAUUACAUAAAAAAAUAGUUAAUGCUAAUGCAAGGGUGUUUCUAAUCCAGAGUCUUUGAGAGGAAUGCUAAAUUUGACAUUGUUCUCUUGUCUGACUGCUGUUUAACUAUAACCACUUACGCUGCUGAGAAACUGGUUUAUUAAGCUAAAUACAGCUAUCUUGAGGCUUAUCAAUUUCUUGAUAUGUCCUGUGUGAAUUCUCCCAAUCAGUCACCACUAUUUAGAACAGGAAAGAACAUGUUACUAUAAUUGCAUUGUGUCUAAAAUUUAAAUCAUUGUUUUAGGUACAUAAAAUGUUUUUUAAAGUUCUAAGAUUAUUGAGUCACAUUUAUUUGUUUCUAAUUUUACCAAGGUGUAAAUGCUUUUUUUUGUUGUUGUUGUUGUUGUUUAUAGCAGUAUUAACACUGAUGUUGCCAUGAAUGGGAUUGUGAUGUGCAGUAUUGUGAUUAUGGAUAUUGUUGUUGUUUAUCAAUAAACUGUUUUAUACGCA